GUAACACGUAUGCAACCUACCCUUUACUGGGGCAUAGCUCAGAGAAAUCUGAAUUAAUUCCCCAUAAUACAAUUGAAUGGCAUCAUUUGAUUAUUAAAGUUGAGGCGGUAAAGGAUGGGCAUGCGUUGCAUUAGCUAGUUGGUGAGGUAAUGGCUCACCAAGGCUACGAUGCAUAGGGGUUCUGAGAGGAUGAUCCCCCACACUGGUACUGAGACACGGACCAGACUCCUACGGGAGGCAGCAGUAGGGAAUAUUGGUCAAUGGACGCAAGUCUGAACCAGCCAUGCCGCGUGCAGGAAGACGGCCCUCUGGGUUGUAAACUGCUUUUAUAUGGGAAGAAACCUCAUUAUGCGUAAUGAACUGACGGUACCAUAUGAAUAAGGAUCGGCUAACUCCGUGCCAGCAACCGCGGUAAGACGAAGGAUCCAAGCGUUGUCCGGAUUUACUGGGUUUAAAGGGUGCGUAGGCGGAAUUUUAAGUCAGUGGUGAAAGCCCUUCGCUCAACGAAGGAACUGCCAUUGAAACUGAAAUUCUUGAAUACGGUUGAGGUAGAUGGAAUAUAACAUGUAGCGGUGAAAUGCUUAGAUAUGUUAUAGAACACCGAUUGCGAAGGCAGUCUACUAAGCCGUGAUCGACGCUGAGGCA
rnacentral:rRNA from 1 species